CAAUAGCGUAUAUUUAAGUUGCUGCAGUUAAAAAGCUCGUAGUUGGAUUUCGGGUGGGAAUGGCCGGUCCGCCGUUUCGGUGUGCACUUGCUACGCCCACCUUGCUGCCGGGGACGUGCUCUUGAGUUCACGCUCGGGACACGGAGUCGGCGAGGUUACUUUGAGUAAAUUAGAGUGUUCAAAGCAGGCCUUCGCCUUGAAUACAUUAGCAUGGAAUAAUAAGAUAGGACUUUGGUCUAUUUUGUUGGUUUGCAGACCGAAGUAAUGAUUAAUAGGGAUAGUUGGGGGUAUUUAUAUUCCGAUGUCAGAGGUGAAAUUCUUAGAUUUUCGGAAGAUAAACUUAUGCGAAAGCAUUUACCAAGGAUGUUUUCAUUAA
rnacentral:rRNA from 1 species